CCUCACUUAGCUUCCUUCCUCCCCUCAGGCCACUCAGGGCAGGGGGGCCCCUGUCCCCGAGGCCACUUCUGCCCCAGGGGAACCAGCCUCCCACAGCCCUGCCCUGCUGGCUCCUACAGCUACCUGACUGGCCAGGCCUCCUGCUUCCCUUGCCCCACUGGCUACUACUGCCCCGAGAACGUCACCAACUACAGCAGGCACCCCUGUCCCGCUGGCUUCUACUGCCCCGAGGCACGAAGUACGCCACCCAGUUCCCCUGCCCUCGGAGCUACUACGACCCAGACCCACUGACCCAGAGCCUGGACAGCUGCCUGCCCUGUCCCCCAGGCCACUGCUGCGGGUAGGAGAACCUGACCCGGGCCUCUGGGCCUUGUGCGGCAGGAUGGUUCUGUGUGUCUGUGGCAUGGACCGCCCGCCCCUUCAACCUGGACAACUACACCAGCACCAAUUGCCUGUGCCCAGCCAC